rnacentral:rRNA from 1 species
UACGUAGGGUGCAAGCGUUAAUCGGAAUUACUGGGCGUAAAGCGUGCGCAGGCGGUGAUGUAAGACAGAUGUGAAAUCCCCGGGCUCGACCUGGGAACUGCAUUUGUGACUGCAUCGCUGGAGUGCGGCAGAGGGGGAUGGAAUUCCGCGUGUAGCAGUGAAAUGCGUAGAUAUGCGGAGGAACACCGAUGGCGAAGGCAAUCCCCUGGACCUGUACUGACGCUCAUGCACGAAAGCGUGGGGAGCAAACGAGG